GUGCUCACUUCGGCAGCACAUAUACUAAAAUUGGAACGAUACAGAGAAGAUUAGCAUGGCCCCUGCGCAAGGAUGGCAUACAAAUUGUGAAGCGUUCCAUAUUUUU
ensembl:snRNA U6 U6 spliceosomal RNA